GCUGGGCAUGGUGGCACAUGCCUGUAAUCCCAGUGGCUCUGGAGGCUGAGGCAAGAGGAUUGGGAGUUCAAAGCCAGCCUCCG
rnacentral:sRNA from 1 species